rnacentral:rRNA from 1 species
UACGGAGGGUGCAAGCGUUAUCCGGAUUCACUGGGUUUAAAGGGUGCGUAGGAGGGCAGGUAAGUCAGUGGUGAAAUCCCCGAGCUUAACUUGGGAACUGCCGUUGAUACUAUCUGUCUUGAAUAUUGUGGAGGUAAGCGGAAUAUGUCAUGUAGCGGUGAAAUGCUUAGAUAUGACAUAGAACACCAAUUGCGAAGGCAGCUUACUACACAACUAUUGACUCUGAUGCACGAAAGCGUGGGGAUCAAACAGG